rnacentral:rRNA from 1 species
CGACCGGCGCACGGGUGAGUAACGCGUAUGCAACCUGCCCGAUACCGGGGUAUAGCCCAUGGAAACGUGGAUUAACACCCCAUAGUACUUUUAUCCUGCAUGGGAUGUGAGUUAAAUGUUCAAGGUAUCGGAUGGGCAUGCGUCCUAUUAGUUAGUUGGCGGGGUAACAGCCCACCAAGACGAUGAUAGGUAGGGGUUCUGAGAGGAAGGUCCCCCACAUUGGAACUGAGACACGGUCCAA